AUGCAGCUUCGUUCUUGUUCCUUGGACCAGUCAUUCAGGGCACGUGGACCCUCCCAGUGGCACACUGUGCCAGCCCCAAGGGCUACCACAGGCGACUUCAAAAUGAGGUUCAAAAUGAGGUUCCUUGCAGGGAGAUGUGCAGUACAGACAGUGUCACACCACCAGGGGGCGCUGCCCAGCUGGUAUCUUUCUCCUUCACGCUCUGCCGUGUUUCUCAAGGAGGCUGGGAAGACAGAAUCAGGAGCCCUGGGAUGCAGUUUGCUUCCUGUUCCUGUACAUGCAUUCCAUCUUAUCCAACUAAGGGGAUAAUGCCCAGAUAUUGAACUAAGGCUCAGAGAGGUGAAGAGGCUACUUGAGGCCACACAGCUGGUAAGUGGCAAAGCAGAGAUCCCUCCUAGGCUUGCAUGAUGCCAACCCCUGGGCCCCAGUGUCUGAGUGGGGGGAGGCAGCACAGUGCAAGGGGAGGGGGAAGCAGGAGGGUAUCCCAGGAGACUGGAGCCAGCUCUGAGUCUUGCUCUACCUCCACUCAGCACAGCUGACUAUUCCUAUCCAUUCUCUUCCCCUCUCCCCACGUGGGAUUUCAGCAACCAUCUCCAGUUUGGGGGGAAUUGGUGAGGGGCUCAGGCAGCACCAGUGGAGUCCUCGAUGUUCAGCCAAGAUAUAUGCUUUUUCUAGAGCACAGCUUGGCUUCUUAAGGGAUGAUUUUCAGUCCUGCCAGAGAUUUCCACACUAGCCAUCCCAACUAGCCAUAGACACCUCAGCCUGCAACUGUACCCAGAGUCUGGGGCCAGAUGCUACAAUGCAAGGAGCCAAGGCAGUGUGCUAACGGGGGAUGCCUAAAGCCACCUCUCACUCUACAUCAUCACUAUGCUCAAUGCCAUACAUGCAGCCUAAUUUAAUCCCCGUGAUGGCCCUGUGAAAAGAUUAUGAUCUCCAUUUACAGGUGAGGACACUGAGGCUCAUAGGGUACCUCUGCAGCUCUGGAGAGCAGUGGGCUGGCUUUCCUCCCAUGCCUGCCACUGACUGACUAGAUGCACGAGGAGUGGGCAAGCACAGAUCUUAGCCUCUGCUUGAGUUCUGGAGAAUGUAAAGGGCAUGAGAGCUGGCUGUCCUUCAGCAAACAUCUCCUGAGACUUACCAGGCUUCCAGGAGCUCACAAACCUAGGGGGGUCCGCCAGGUCCUCAGUGGAGAAUAAACUGCAGCCAGACUUGUGAGUGAGCA
rnacentral:lncRNA from 1 species